rnacentral:lncRNA from 1 species
UGGUGAUCAAUCACUUCAAUCAAUUUGUUAACCAAAAAAAUAUUGAAUAUACAAUGUUAACAAGUUGGUUUGAAGCUAAUAAAACUUUUCAUGAAGCACGGACAUUAACGUAUGCAGAAUUUCCUUCAAAAUGUGUGUGGAAUUCUCGCACUAAGAUGUGGAAACCUAGAAGAAAAAAAAGGAUCCCUUGGUAGAAUAGCUUAUGUACAUCCUGCAUCUGGUGCAUUAUAUUAUUUAAGAAUGCUUUUGAAUUUGCAAAAAGGGGCUUUUCACUUUAAUGACCUAAAAACU